ensembl:lncRNA
AAAAAAUUCAAGGCACUUCAGUGUCUAUAACUUUUAAUAUUUUUGAGCAUUAUCAAAUCUGGUUGAUAAAAAGUAAAGCCCAAAGGGUCUUCUUUCCAAAGACACCAAAAUUAUGUUUGUAACACACUGAAGUAAGGAACUGUUACAAUUUUGCUGGCUAAUAGGUUAAAUGACAUACAGGGCACAAUCUGUUUAUUAACUCAUUUUGCGCUGUCUGUGUUUCUUCCUUUCACAGUUUUUGCUCCUAUGGCAGAAGCAGACGAGUUGUGCGAUUUGCUGUUUUUGUGGCUGAAAAAGAGAAAGCAGUGUACAGAGAAGCUGUUGGCUUUGGCGAAGGAGCUGGAGAAUGUACAUGAAAAAAGUACUGUUUCUCAAGUGGUCGGAUCUGCCACAUCCGUGAUUGCACUGUCUACAGCAGGAGUCGUCACUUUCCUCACAGGAGGCCUGGCCACCCCUCUUCUGGUUGCCACAACUGUGGGGACGAUAGCGGGCGCUGCAGUCGACAUCGCUUCCACAGCAAUAGAGGCAAUCAUCUCCGGCAGUACCAUGAAAGAAGCUAAAAAUAUCCUUCAAGAAGAUGAGAAGAUUGGAAAGAACAUUCAGGAGGCAAUAGAAAAUCUGAAGAAGAAAUGUGGAGCGCAACAAAACAGCAUUCAUGGAUCUACAGAUGUAGGCUGUGAGGUGGCCACUCAAAUUUUGGGGGCACUGGCCAGACGAAAUAACAUAGAUGUACCUCUGGACUUUCUCAGAACAUUCGUCAGGUCCACAUUCUCUCAAAAUUUAGUUGGACUGCAUGGUGCUGCUGCCGUUCCCCAAAUGUUGAUUUUAUCUGCUGUAACAUUAUGUUAUCAACUGGGCAUCAAAAGCUUCGAGAAAGGUUUGAAGGCCGGUGCCAAAGGACUGGGCAAGAGCGCUGCAUCCACUAGUGCGAAAGCUGCUACUAAAGCAGGUUUGAAGGCCGGUGCCAAAGGACUGGGCAAGAGCGCUGCAUCCACUAGUGCGAAAGCUGCUACUAAAGCAGGUUUUAAGGUUAUUUUACUUUUUCAAUCCAUUUGAGAACUGUUGAGAAAUGUGUAUUUUACACAGCAUUUCCAAUUGAUAUUAAUAUUGACACUUAUUUUGCACAUGUGUUUUUAUUGUUCUAGUUACUUGGAGUGAUUGGUUUUGGCAUUUCUCUGUACAGCUUGAUUUCAAGUUGUGAAGAAAUGCUAAAGAGCAAUCAGGGCACAAAGGCCAGCCAGGCUCUACGAGAUGCAGCCAGGGAAAUACGAGAAGCCAGGAGAAAUGUAGAAGAACAACUGAAUGCAAUGAAGUAUGUUAAUUUAUUAUGUUACCUUUCCGUUCUGUCCACAGGAACACAUCAUGUUAAAGGAAAUGUUCACCCAAAGAUAAUUAUUAUUUUACUCCCCAUGGACAUGCAAAUGUAUACCUUUGGCUUUGUGUAUGUGGCUAAAGGACAAAUACACACAAAUGUCAAAAAAUGCCCAUCUAAGUAACUAGCAAGUAAUAAUGUA